UCUUCCCCUAGCAGCAUUGCAUCUACGGCUACUGUGUCACAUGUGCAUCAGUAGGUACAUGGCAGAGAGGAGAGAGGUUAUGUCUGUGCUCAGAGUUCUGAUCUACAAACAUUUGAAUGAUUAAUAAUAGCUUACCCU